rnacentral:rRNA from 1 species
GACGAACGCUGGCGGCGUGCUUAACACAUGCAAGUCGAACGGACAGGCCCUGCUUUUGUGGGGUGCUCGAGUGCCGAACGGGUGAGUAACACGUGAGUAACCUGCCCUUGACUUUGGGAUAACUUCAGGAAACUGGGGCUAAUACCGGAUAGGAGCUCCUGCUGCAUGGUGGGGGUUGGAAAGUUUCGGCGGUUUGGGAUGGACUCGCGGCUUAUCAGCUUGUUGGUGGGGUAGUGGCUUACCAAGGCUUUGACGGGUAGCCGGCCUGGGAGGGUGACCGGCGACAUUGGGACUGAGAUACGGCCCAGACUCCUACGGGAGGCAGCAGUGGGGAAUAUUGCACAAUGGGCGGAAGCCUGAUGCAGCAACGCCGCGUGCGGGAUGACGGCCUUCGGGUUGUAAACCGCUUUCGCCUGUGACGAAGCGUGAGUGACGGUAAUGGGUAAAGAAGCACCGGCUAACUACGUG